CGAAGUCGUCGUUGUCGGGGUCCGAAGACUUUUGGUUUUCGCACUAUAACUUAAGUAUAAGUGAAUAGAAAUCUAUGAAAUUUAAACACAAGAUUUAUGACCAUAAAAGGAAUGUUGGGAUUGAUUUUGGAAGUUUUGGUCCCAACAGUUUGGGAAUUAGGGGCCAAAAAGGGCCCAAAUAAGCAUUUUCUUGGUUUUCGCACUAUAACUUUAGUUUUAGUAAAUAGAAAUCUAUGAAAUUUAAACACAAGGUUUAUGAACACAAAAGGAAGGUUGGGAUUGAUUUUGGGAGUUUUGGUUCCAACAGUUUAGGAAUUAGGGGCAAAA
rnacentral:lncRNA from 1 species